rnacentral:rRNA from 1 species
GAUGAACGCUGGCGGCGUGCUUAACACAUGCAAGUCGAACGAAGCAUUUAGGACAGAUUACUUCGGUUUGAAGUUCUUUAUGACUGAGUGGCGGACGGGUGAGUAACGCGUGGGUAACCUGCCUUGUACUGGGGGAUAGCAGCUGGAAACGGCUGGUAAUACCGCAUAAGCGCACAAUGUUGCAUGACAUGGUGUGAAAAACUCCGGUGGUAUAAGAUGGACCCGCGUCUGAUUAGCUAGUUGGUGAGAUAACAGCCCACCAAGGCGACGAUCAGUAGCCGACCUGAGAGGGUGACCGGCCACAUUGGGACUGAGACACGGCCCAGACUCCUACGGGAAGGAGCAGUGGGGAAUAUUGCACAAUGGAGGAAACUCUGAUGCAGCGACGCCGCGUGAGUGAAGAAGUAAUUCGUUAUGUAAAGCUCUAUCAGCAGGGAAGAUAGUGACGGUACCUGACUAAGAAGCUCCGGCUAAAUACGUG